rnacentral:rRNA from 1 species
AGCUCCAAUAGCGUAUAUUAAAGUUGUUGCAGUUAAAAAGCUCGUAGUUGGAUUUCUGGUGGGAGUGAUCGGUCGGCUUCGCAAGGAGUCUGCACCUGUAUCUUCUCUUGCCAUCCUUGGGGAAGGCACUUCUUGUAUUAACUUACGGGUCGUGAAUUCCCCAUCUUUUACUGUGAAAAAAUUAGAGUGUUCAAAGCAGGCUUAGGCCGUUGAAUACAUUAGCAUGGAAUAAUGAGAUAGGGCCUUGGUGGUUUUCUAUUUUGUUGGUUUGCACGCCAAGGUAAUGAUUAAUAGGGAUAGUUGGGGGUAUUCGUAUUCAAUUGUCAGAGGUGAAAUUCUUGGAUUUAUGGAAGACGAACUACUGCGAAAGCAUUUACCAAGGAUGUUUUCAUUAAUCAAG